GACUUUUUUUCAGAAUUCUUUAUGUUUAAUAAUUUCAACUAUGUUUACUUUCAUCCUGAUAGAUGAAUGCACUUUUAACCUUACAAAAAAAGGUUGAUUCUCAGAGGCAUCUUUGUCUGGAGAGUGAUUCCAGCAAGUUUGUGAUUGAUUUUCUCUAUAAUGGUAAUAUUAAUCGAUAAUAUUGUGAGGUACAUGAAGAAUCAAUUAAAUAAAAAAAGAAAAUAAACAUAUGGAGUUAAUCACAUUGUAAAACAGAACAUUCAUGAAUUCAUGAAGUGCCUCUGAUCAGCAAGAAGCUUGCCGAUAAAAAUUAUAACACUAAUCACAAUGACAAUUUCAACAACAGGUGAGUUAAUCAAUAAUACUGUGAAAUAUCUAAAGAAUCAAUUAAAUAUAAAAAAAUUGUGAGUUAAUCGAAUUGUAAAGCAGAGGAUUCUUGAAUUCAUGAAGUGCAUUUGAUCAACAAGAAAGCUUGCCCCAGAAAAAAAUAUAAUAAUGAUGACAACAACGUUAUGGAUUGAAGAAUGUUUUGCUUUACAAUGUGAUUAACUCAAAAUGUUGUUUUUUCUAAUAUUUAAUUGAUUCUUUAGGUUUUAAGUAGGUUUAAGAAUCAAUUCAGCAGCUGAAACCUUGCUGAUAGAGGGAACACCUCAAGAUUCUGGCUGGUACUUCAAGUGAGUUAACACCGUUGCAGCUGGAAACUUUGCUGACAGGGGAACACAUCAAGAUUCUGGCCGAGGCAACUUUGUCUGGAGUGAUUCCAGCACUCUGUAAUUGAUUUUCUCUCAUCAGCUAAGAACUGAUAUGGUUGUUUGCCAGAUCUGAAGGACAUGCUCCUUUCUUGUAAGUUAAUGGAGAGAAAGGGAUUCUAAUUCAUUUCAUCUUCAGUUGCCACUAGUUAUCCAAUAACUGUAUGAUAAAAAAAUGUUAUAAAACCUUCGUGAGGAGAUUGCAAAGGAGUUAACUCCAAUUGAGAGUGUGGGGAAGGACUACCCCAGGUAUAAGAAGGGAAUAUAUCGGUUCUGAAUAUUUGCCUGUUAAGAGAUGAACUACUUUAGGUACAUGUGCGGUAUAUUCUUGAUUUUUCUAGCUCUGGAUGUUCACCUGGCUAGUGUUUGCUUGAUCUAAAGAAAAACUUUAGCUUUAUUCUGUUCUCUCCACACAAGGCUUGUCACCAAGGUAGGAAUACAGUACUAGAUAAAUGCUUGCUUGGCCAUUCAGGUACUGGCCAAGGCCAGUAAAUGCUUGCUUGGCCAUUGAGGUACUGGCCAAGGCCAUUAAAUGCUUGCUUGCUACUGCUUUUUUGAUAGGCUUGCCCUUAUGAUAAGGGUGAGUACUUUCUUUUCAAUUUUGAAGCAAGCAAGGUGUGUAUUGUUUCUUUUGUUUUAGCAUGUGUUUUGUGGUUCCCCCAUUGUAACUGUUGUUGUUGCCUGGGGUGCGCCUCAGUGUAGUUAUGAUGUGGUGAUAUUCAUUUUAUUCUUAAUUAUAAAAAUGGUGUUAUGUUAUUCUUAAUUAUAAAAGAGGUGUUAUUUAUUUUCUACACGCAUAUAUCAGUAUAUGUGUACAUAUAUAUGUAUGUGUGUAUAUAUAUGUAGACACAUCAUAUAUAGUGAAUUUCUGAGGUUUGGAAAGAUAGAUUCUUCUGUUGUUUAUAUAAAUUGAAUAUUGGUGCAUAUCCUUGCAUGGUUAUGUAUUAUUUUAGGACUUGUGUAUUCUAUAUCAUUUUCUUAUUUGAUAGCUUGGGUGGCUCGGAUUUUUAUGCUUGUUCCUUGCAAACUAGCCAGUUUCCUUGAUGGGGCUUCCCUUCAUGUUUUCACACUCCAUUUUCUACAGAUUCACUUGACUCCAAGUAAUCAUGCUUAUAUAAAGCCCCACGAAAUAUGUAGAGGACUCUAAAAUGUGCUGAUGCUCAUUAAUGGUUAACCCCACUAGUUAAUACUCAUAAUGAUGGUAUAUCUUCAUUUUAUGGUUGACCUACUUUUUUUCUUCUCAAUUUUGAAGAAUUUUUUAUGAUUAAACAACUUU